GCGGUUGUUUAGAUUUGCAAGCGACCAGGGAAUUUGGAAAAGUAAACCAAAGCCGCACCCGCGACUGUAUAUGGUGAGCUAAAGUGAUUUACCACUGAUCUUUGAAGAAGGUUGGGAAGGUACUUAUGCGAUGAACCAUGAGCCAGGAGACCGGCUAGAAUAGUA
rnacentral:ncRNA from 1 species